rnacentral:misc_RNA from 1 species
UUUCCGUAGGUGAACCUGCGGAAGGAUCAUUAUUGUACAACCGAGGUGCGAGGUAUCUCGCUCAACCGAAUGGUCGCGCACGCCCGAGUGCCUUCAUACACAACCAUGUCAACCCUAUGUGCAACAUCGCACAGGACAAACCUUGGCAUAUUGGGAGGGUGGCUUCCGUCUUCACUGAAACUCGGAAUGGAGUGGAGAAUGUAAUUUUUGAUUUUGCGUUGCCGCGAUCAAUACAACUUUCCACAAUGGAUCUCUUGGCUAUCGCAUCGAUGAAGAACC